AGAGUUUGAUCCUGGCUCAGGACGAACGCUGGCGGCGUGCUUAACACAUGCAAGUCGAGCGGAAAGGCCCUUCGGGGUACUCGAGCGGCGAACGGGUGAGUAACACGUGGGUAACCUGCCUUCAGCUCUGGGAUAAGCCUGGGAAACUGGGUCUAAUACCGGAUAUGACAUGCGGCCGCAUGGUUGUGUGUGGAAAGUUUUUCGGCUGGAGAUGGACUCGCGGCCUAUCAGCUUGUUGGUGGGGUAGUGGCCUACCAAGGCGAUGACGGGUAGCCGGCCUGAGAGGGCGACCGGCCACACUGGGACUGAGACACGGCCCAGACUCCUACGGGAGGCAGCAGUGGGGAAUAUUGCGCAAUGGGCGAAAGCCUGACGCAGCAACGCCGCGUGAGGGAUGACGGCCUUCGGGUUGUAAACCUCUUUCAGCGCUGACGAAGCCUUCGGGUGACGGUAGGCGCAGAAGAAGCACCGGCUAACUACGUG
rnacentral:rRNA from 1 species